CCCUUAGAUGUUCUGGGCAGCACGCGCGCUACAAUGGUCUUCGCAAACGGAUGCAUUCUCGAAGGAGAAUGCCAAUCUUGGAAUCUAUGCCUUGGUCGGGACAGUUGCUUGCAAUUUUUCGACUCGGACCAGGAAUUCCUUGUAAUCGUGAUUCAUCACAUCACGAUGAAUACGUCCCUGCCCUUUGUACACACCGCCCGUCGCUCCUACCGAUCGAGGAGUUAGGUGAAUUGUUUUGAUCGAUAAGAUUUGACUAUGGUCAACUCUCGUUGUGAAAUUCUGUGAAUCUGACUGUUUAGAGGAAGGAAAAGUCGUAACA
rnacentral:rRNA from 1 species